GUUGGGCAGAAUGCUUAGACUAGACAGCAUCUGAGAGCUACUUCAGCUCUCGUUCGGGGAAGGCGGCAAUUAGCUGCUUCGCGUGCAAGUGGUGGAGUGUUUUGCCCCAGAGAAGAUCAGCAAAUGCAAUAUUUACUCCGAAUGACAGUGCUCCUGUCACUAUAAACCUCCAGAGAAGGCACUGCUUCUAAUUUGGAGUCAAAUGAGUAUUUUUUUGGAACAUGUACUUGUACCAAACAGCCUUAUCCAGAAGAAGAAG